AUACGUAGGUGGCAAGCGUUAUCCGGAAUUAUUGGGCGUAAAGAGGGAGCAGGCGGCAGCAAGGGUCUGUGGUGAAAGCCUGAAGCUUAACUUCAGUAAGCCAUAGAAACCAGGCAGCUAGAGUGCAGGAGAGGAUCGUGGAAUUCCAUGUGUAGCGGUGAAAUGCGUAGAUAUAUGGAGGAACACCAGUGGCGAAGGCGACGAUCGGGCCUGCAACUGACGCUCAGUCCCGAAAGCGUGGGGAGCAAAUAGGAUUAGAUACCCUAGUAGUCCACGCCGUAAACGAUGAGUACUAAGUGUUGGAUGUCAAAGUUCAGUGCUGCAGUUAACGCAAUAAGUACUCCGCCUGAGUAGUACGUUCGCAAGAAUGAAACUUAAAGGAAUUGACGGGG
rnacentral:rRNA from 1 species